rnacentral:rRNA from 1 species
UACGUAGGGUGCGAGCGUUAAUCGGAAUUACUGGGCGUAAAGCGUGCGCAGGCGGUUUGUUAAGUCUGAUGUGAAAGCCCCGGGCUCAACCUGGGAACUGCAUUGGAAACUAGCGGGCUGGAGUGUGGCAGAGGGGGGUGGAAUUCCACGUGUAGCAGUGAAAUGCGUAGAGAUGUGGAGGAACACCGAUGGCGAAGGCAGCCCCCUGGGCUAACACUGACGCUCAUGCACGAAAGCGUGGGGAGCAAACAGG